rnacentral:rRNA from 1 species
CAGCACCUCAAGUGGUCAGGAUGAUUAUUGGGCCUAAAGCAUCCGUAGCCGGCUCUGUAAGUUUUCGGUUAAGUCUGUAUGCUCAACAUACAGGCUGCCGGGAAUACUGCAGAGCUAGGGAGUGGGAGAGGUAGACGGUACUCGGUAGGAAGGGGUAAAAUCCUUUGAUCUAUUGAUGACCACCUGUGGCGAAGGCGGUCUACCAGAACACGUCCGACGGUGAGGGAUGAAAGCUGGGGGAGCAAACCGGAUUAGAUACCCGAGUAGUCC